CCUUUCAUUCUGACCUCACUGGUCCAGUAAAGGUCGGUGGGGUUGGGGGACGCAGGCAGGCGCCACAUGAUAAAGCUGAGGAAGCUAAGAGCGCCCCUCCAGUGACUCCCUGGGGGCUCCCCCCUACCUGGCCCACCAGGCCCCCCUCUCCAGCAGCAACGCAGGUUCCCCCAGGCUCCUUGUCCUUGGUAAGCGCUGCCCACGCGUCCAGUCGCCACCCCUUCUCUGGGAGACGUUGGCGCCAGCCUCACUUCCUGGAGAGCCUUCCGCGACCUCCCAGGCUAAGUCAACAACCCUCCUCUCACUUCAGGUUUGCUAAACACCUUGGAACUCUCCUUAGCAGCCUUUGUAAUUUUCCAUUAUUCGGGCGGCUCACUACAGGAGUGCAGGGAUCAGCGCUUCACCUGCGUGCCCCCUUCCUUCCUGAGCCCCGGGGCUACCGCGCCUGUUUGAAUGGAGGUUGGGGGUUCGAAGCCUGGAGGCCGAGCCCUGGGUGACCCCUGCCCACCAGGCGGACCUCGGGUGGCUAUCCUUUCCGUCUCAAGCGAUCCACUAGGAUUCCACCUGACCAGGCUCGCCGGCGCGGCCUGUGCCUCAGAGGCAGUAAUCUUGAUUCAGAAUCACCGUUCUGUGCCCUCCAGCGAGGCGGGCCCUUGGCCGCAUGGGCUCAAGGCUCCAUGCACGAAAAUGCCGGGGCUCCAGCCAAUGUCUUUCGCCACCAGCAACCAGGCCCCCUGGGGAGUGGAAGCACGAAAUUUGGGGCCAUAAGGCAAUUCUUCAGCAAGGCCCGUGCAGCCGCGGGCAGGGCGCCCACUGACAGGCUGGUGCGCUAGUAUGCCAGUCCACCGUCCCGCGUCCUGCCGGACGGCUUGCGGUGGACCGCAGAGCCCGGGUGCCCGGCCUCGUCCCUGGCAGGAAGUGCGCGCCUUGGGAUCAAGACCACUCCUCCAGGCCGGGGCGGGGGCGGGGGGAGGCACCCGCCGGUGCCCGCUGCCCAGGUGGCCCAGCUCUGAUCAUCGCCUCCGGGUCGCGGCAACGGGGCCCAGGCCGUGGGCAGUCCCUCCCCGGGGCCGCUGAGCGGUUCGCACCUCGCCCCGAGUCCCUCGGGCCUGUCCCCGCCGUCCCCGCCGCGCCGCCCGUAUCGCUCCCGGCAUCUCAGCGAGUUUCCAGUUUCUCCCCACUUCGGGAGGGAACCAAGAAGCAGAAGGAGUUCAGGUAGCACUCCGGGACUGCAGAGAUUUUCCCGAAACAAAGAAGCGAAUCGACAAUUCCCCCCUCUCACUCGUCCCCAGGGGAAAAGGCGCAUCCCCGGUCCCGCAGAAGCAGGUGGAGCUGAGUCGGGUCCCGCCGAGGGGACCCACCCUGAGGGACCCGGAGGCACUCUCUUCUCCGACCAGUUGGCUAAGGACCCGCAGGGCAGCCUGCCCGAGGCAAGCGAUGCCAACGAGUCAGCCAGAGGCCACUGACCGGCGCGCCAAGGGGUUCCCAGGCGCGCGGAACCCUCCAGGCCCCACGGAGGUCAUCUUGCCCGGCUCGGCCCCGCGCGCCGGCUGGUGGGAGGACGCGCCUGCAGGGCUGGAGCUGCUCACACCUGGCUUCACCUGCUGCUACUCCCACCCAGCGCGGGGCGGCGGCUAGGUCGCUCCCGGGCGCCCAGGUGGAUUGCUUUAGAAGAGAAAGGAAGCUGAAUUCAUUCCAAAUCACCUGCUGCGUUGGCUCAGCGCUCCUUCCUGAGCAGGUGUCCUGGGAGCUGGACUUCCCUAGCAGCGAGUACCAGGAUAAAGAUGGCUCCUCCAUCAAACCCCAUAGCAUAGCAAUGACAGGGAACCCAGCUCUUGAUGACAUCAUCCAACCACUGACUCAAACCAACUCUGAAGGAGAAGAGGAAACAGUGAAUGGGAAGAGACAGAGAGCCUGGACACAGAGCCGUCUCCGUACGGAAGCAUGAAAUGUUCAGGGGCAUACAGGCCAGUGGAGACGCCUAAUGGGAAAUCUCAUGACCCAGGAGGAAAAAGCUGACGUUAGAAUCCUGUAUCAUGUGAAACACGCAAAUCAAUUCGGGUAAAUUAAAGAUCACAUGUGAGAAUAAAGGACUAGAAUGUUUAGAUGACGGGGUGGCUUUGCAGUGGGACAGCCCCACUAGAAUCCCUUUCACAUGCGUUUCUGGUUAGCUGGGGCCAUGAGCCCUUGGGAGGCUUGGCGGACAGAGUGAAUCAGGGCCAGUGUUUGCUCCACACUCGUUGCUGCUCAGCUGGCUCACCUCCCUGCUCAAGGCAGUGGCCAGGUCCUUUCCCCUGAUCCUCCGGCUUCUGUGACUCCAGGCUGCGUGUGUUGUGCUCUGUGAUGGUGAACCCCACCCCAGCCUCUGCAGGACAGCUUGGUCAAGGUUAGGGCAGCAGUGCGACCUGGUGGGCUGCAGCUCACCUGUAAGGGCUCCAGCUUGUCCUUGCCCUCCCGCACUUACUCCGCUUGUGGACUGAGCCGUGCGCCCCAAAUUCAUACGAUGAAGCCCUAACCCCAAUGUGACUGUAUUUGGAGACAGGACUUAAUCAGAGUUUAAUGAGAUCAAGGGUAGAUUGGUGAUUGACAGGACGGCUGGCCUUACAGAAAGAAGAUUCGAUCUCUCUGUCUGUAUGUGCCUAUGUC